GAGCACGUUGGGUGCACUCACGCAAAGUUCAAUUUUGCGCGCGUAUUGCAAAUCUGAACCAGAAAACAGCCGAGAAAUAAGAGUCCGGCUAAGUAAUUUAAAAACAAAGCUUUGGCAGAAAGCAUAUGUCUCGGGAGCACUGGGUGUUAAAUGACGAAACGGGAGGCCUUUUUACAAGCUGUCAGAAAAUAAUACGUGGGCAAGUUUUUGGACUAUAUAAAUCGCAGUAAGGACCGUUCAGACCCAUUUGAUUUGGAUGAGCUGCUUCAAGAGUUUCCCAAAAAACAGAAGGAGGAAUUAUGGGAGAAUCUAGGGAAGGUCUUGACACAUGUUUUACUGGAGUUUCCUAUGGUUAAGUGGAACUGUGAGAUUGAUGAAGACAGUGCUGAUGAAGUGGAAGUGGAAGUGGAAGGCUCAGACGACUUUGUAAAGUUGUGUGCUUACUGUAAUUCAUGUCUAACUGUACAUAGCCUUAAAAAGAAAAAGAAAAGUAUUAACAUCCACGUGUUUGUCUGUUUAAUAUGUUUAUGUAUUCCCCCCUCUAGAAACACUAUGUCAGUGAUUGAAGGUGUGAUUAUGGUAGCUUGUGCUUCUGUUCGUGUAGUUGAUGAGGAUGUGACCUAUUGGGCCCUGCUAGAAUGUGCCAUUAUAUUAAAUGCACCUCAGACUGGGAUCCAGGAGUACCGUGAGGUUUCAUCGUUAUUUCCGAUGGCAUCUUAACAGACGGCGCUAAAUGACCUGUUUUAAAUAAAAUGCAUACCAUUGCAUUCCUUUAAAAAAAAAAAAAAAAGUUUUGAUUUGCCAGUGUAUCUUGUACUACUCUUGCAAAUACAUUUCUCCAGGGCAAGGCUGCAGACAUACGUCGACUGUGGAACCUCCACCAGGCACUGCUCAGCUUUGACUAUGACUCUGAAGACAGCAGAGAAGUGAAGGACAUGCUGCUACAAUGCUUUCUGAGUGUGAACCAUAUCAAAAGGG